rnacentral:rRNA from 2 species
GAUGCAGGUUACCCGCGACAGGACGGAAAGACCCCGUGGAGCUUUACUGUAGCCUGAUAUUGAAUUUUGGUACAGCUUGUACAGGAUAGGUAGGAGCCUGAGAAGCCGGAGCGCUAGCUUCGGUGGAGGCGUCGGUGGGAUACUACCCUGGCUGUAUUGAAAUUCUAACCCGCGGCCCUUAUCGGGCCGGGAGACAGUGUCAGGUGGGCAGUUUGACUGGGGCGGUCGCCUCCUAAAAUGUAACGGAGGCGCCCAAAGGUUCCCUCAGAAUGGUUGGAAAUCAUUCGUAGAGUGUAAAGGCACAAGGGAGCUUGACUGCGAGACCUACAAGUCGAGCAGGGACGAAAGUCGGGCUUAGUGAUCCGGUGGUUCCGCAUGGAAGGGCCAUCGCUCAACGGAUAAAAGCUACCCCGGGGAUAACAGGCUUAUCUCCCCCAAGAGUCCACAUCGACGGGGAGGUUUGGCACCUCGAUGUCGGCUCAUCGCAUCCUGGGGCUGUAGUCGGUCCCAAGGGUUGGGCUGUUCGCCCAUUAAAGCGGUACGCGAGCUGGGUUCAGAACGUCGUGAGACAGUUCGGUCCCUAUCCGUCGUGGGCGUAGGAAAUUUGAGAGGAGCUGUCCUUAGUACGAGAGGACCGGGAUGGACACACCGCUGGUGUACCAGUUGUCUUGCCAAAGGCAUCGCUGGGUAGCUAUGUGUGGACGGGAUAAGUGCUGAAAGCAUCUAAGCAUGAAGCCCCCCUCAAGAUGAGAUUUCCCAUAGCGCAAGCUAGUAAGAUCCCUGAAAGAUGAUCAGGUUGAUAGGUCAGAGGUGGAAGCGUGGCGACAUGUGUAGCUGACUGAUACUAAUCGAUCGAGGACUUAACCAAA